rnacentral:rRNA from 1 species
GGACCUGACUGCUAUCGGAUUGAUACUAAGCCAUGCGAGUCAUUGUAGCAAUACAAGGCAUACGGCUCAGUAACGCGUAGUCAACCUAACCUAUGGACGGGAAUAACCUCGGGAAACUGAGAAUAAUGCCCGAUAGAACAUUAUACCUGGAAUGGUUUAUGUUCCAAAUGAUUUAUCGCCGUAGGAUGGGACUGCGGCCUAUCAGUUUGUUGGUGAGGUAAUGGCCCACCAAGACUAUUACAGGUACGGGCUCUGAGAGGAGUAGCCCGGAGAUGGGUACUGAGACACGGACCCAGGCCCUAUGGGGCGCAGCAGGCGAGAAAACUUUGCAAUGUGCGAAAGCACGACAAGGUUAAUCCGAGUGAUUUCUGCUAAAGAAAUCUUUUGUUAGUCCUAGAAACACUAACGAAUAAGGGGUGGGCAAGUUCUGGUGUCAGCCGCCGCGGUAAAACCAGCACCUCAAGUGGUCAGGAUGAUUAUUGGGCCUAAAGCAUCCGUAGCCGGCUCUGUAAGUUUUCGGUUAAAUCUGUACGCUCAACGUACAGGCCGCCGGGAAUACUGCAAAGCUAGGGAGUGGGAGAAGUAGACGGUACUCGGUAGGAAGUGGUAAAAUGCUUUGAUCUAUCGAUGACCACCUGUGGCGAAGGCGGUCUACUAGAACACGUCCGACGGUGAGGGAUGAAAGCUGGGGGAGCAAACCGGAUUAGAUACCCGGGUAGUCCCAGCUGUAAACUAUGCAAACUCAGUGAUGCAUUGGCUUGUGGCCAAUGCAGUGCUGCAGGGAAGCCGUUAAGUUUGCCGCCUGGGAAGUACGUACGCAAGUAUGAAACUUAAAGGAAUUGGCGGGGGAGCACCACAAGGGGUGAAGCCUGCGGUUCAAUUGGAUUCAACGCCGGA